rfam:Schistocephalus solidus strain NST_G2 genome assembly, scaffold: SSLN_scaffold0000565
GGCCUCGUAGCUCAGUUGGCUAGAGUGGUGGAUGAACUAACGCCUUCCUCUUGCUGGCGUGGGUUUGAAUCCAACCGAGGCCG